rnacentral:lncRNA from 1 species
AUCUAUUUAAUUUAUUUAAUAAAUAAAUAAUUUAUUUAUCCAACUCAAUUUAGUAUGUUUAACAUGUUUAAUAAAUAGUAUUGGUUCAACCUUAGUGGACCUAUUAAUCAAAUUCGAAAUCUGAUUUGUUUAAUCUAUUACUCUGACCUGCCUAAUAGAUAGACCUGUUAUAUACAUCAAUAAAAAAAUGAAAUAUCAACAUAAAAAAAUGAGC